rnacentral:rRNA from 1 species
CCCAGACUCCUACGGGAGGCAGCAGUGGGGGAUAUUGCACAAUGGGGGAAACCCUGAUGCAGCGACGCCGCGUGGGUGAAGAAGUAUUUCGGUAUGUAAAGCCCUAUCAGCAGGGAAGAAAGAAGACGGUACCUGACUAAGAAGCCCCGGCUAACUACGUGCCAGCAGCCGCGGUAAUACGUAGGGGGCGAGCGUUAUCCGGAUUCACUGGGGGUAAAGGGAGCGUAGACGGCCGUGCAAGCCAGGAGUGAAAGCCCGGGGCCCAACCCCGGGGCUGCUCUUGGAACUGUGCGGCUGGAGUGCGGGAGGGGCAGGCGGAAUUCCUGGUGUAGCGGUGAAAUGCGUAGAUAUCAGGAGGAACACCGGCGGCGAAGGCGGCCUGCUGGGCCGCGACUGACGUUGAGGCUCGAAAGCGUGGGGAGCGAACAGGAUUAGAUACCCUGGUAAA